rnacentral:lncRNA from 1 species
GUAAUGAACCCAACUAGCAGCCAUGUAGAUUUGAGUUCGAUCCCUCGCCUUGCUCAGUGGGUUAAAGAUACAGCAUUACUGUGAGCUGUGAUGAAGACCUCAAACGAGGCUCAGAUCCCGAGUUGCUGUGGCUGUGGCAUGGGCCAGCAGCUGUAGGUCCAACUCAACCCCUAGCCAGGGGACUUCUAUAUGCCACAGAUGCGGCCCUAAAAAGCAAAAAAGUCAUCAUAUUAAAAAAAAAUGUCAGAGUUCCCGUCGUGGCGCAGUGGUUAACGAAUUCAACUAAGAACCACGAGGUUUUGGGUUCAGUCCCUGGCCUUGCUCAGUGGGUUAGGGAUCUGGCAUUGCCGUGAGCUGUGGUGUUGCAGAUGCGACUUGGAUCCUGAGUUGCUGCUGCUGUGGUGUAGGCCAGCAGCUGUAGCUCCGAUUGGACCCCUAGCCUGGGAACCUCCAUAUGCCAAGGGAAUGGCCCUAAAAAGCAAUAAAUUAAUUAAUUAAUUAACUAAAAUAAAACCCCAUGUCUUAAAUACUGUGAGGGCUGUAAUACCUCUUUAGGACAAUAGGGUUAACUGAAUAAAACUUUCUUUCAGUUCAUCCACUGUCCCAAGGAUUCAUACUAAACUUCCUUUAUUACUGUAGAGGAGGAAAACAGAGUUAGAGGUUGGGUCCAAAAAGCAAAGAGAAGAAAAGUAGACAAUCAAGCUGCUCAAAAUCAGUUAUGAACUUCUAAAAAAUUAAGUAAAAGCUCACCUUAAGAAAGCCUUGGGGGGUAAAAAAAAAAAAAGAAGAAAGCCUUGGAGUUCCCAUUGUGACUAGUAUCCAUGAAGUUGCUGGUUCGAUCCCUGGCCUCGCUCAGUGGGUUAAGGAUCCAGUGCUGCCAUGAAUUGUGGUGCAGGUCACAGAGGCAGCUGACAUCUGGCAUUGCUGUGGCUGUGGUGUAGGCCAGCAGCUACAGCUCCGAUUUGACCCCUAGCCUGGGAACUUCCCAUAUGCUGCGGGUGCAGCCAUAAAAAGACAAAAAAAAAAGAAAAAAAGGAAAAAAAGAAAAGAAAGCUUUUCAUGCAUGAGAAUAUUCUGAAUAUCUCUGUACAUACUGAAACAAACUGGGAGGCUUAUGAUAACCUUCAAAAUGCUCUUACUCUCAAAGUAUUCAUUAUUAACUUUAAGUAGGCCAUUAAAUGUCAGGUUUAUAAGCUUAUCCCUAUACAAUAUGGAAUACCUGGAUAUUAAUCUAACCCUCUAACAAAAACCACUCAUAUAUCAUAGCUAUACAGCAAAGUAGAAACUUGCCUAUUCUUUCUCUUCAUUUGAUACUUUUUCUACACAUAAACCAUAUUUUGAAAAUGACUGGAAAUUAUGAUUAGAACAGGAAUUAGGAAUGAUGCUGUUAACUGUGAUCUGGGUUACUGUUAUAUACUUUUAAACACACUGAUAUGUUUGAAUUUUCCAGAGAUU